UGGGUUUAUCUGUGGUUCUGAGGGUCUUGACAGUUCAGGUCUCAGCUCUUCUGCCGCGGUAAGUUGUGUUUUCCAUCACUGCCUUUGAAUUUGCAUUAGUUAGACAAUCAAGAAAUGUAGUUCUUAUUUUUCAAUUUUAGGGAAGUUCGUGUGAUCUGGUAAGGUUAGUUCUCCAGACCCUGUAAGGCCUUAUAGUGAACUUUUUCCUUUUUGCUGUUGCAUCCUUGAGGAAAAGAGAUCUCACUGUUCACUCUUUCCUUUAAGGAGAUUUGAUUUGCAUCUUUGUUCUUUUCUUAUAGUAGUAUCUGUUCCUUACAAGUUACAGUGACUGAGAUAUCCUAUUCAGUAUAACUUUUCUUUUGUCUUGUGGAAUUUCAUUUAACAAUUGUCAUUUUUAUUUUUAUUUUUUUAAUGACAAGGAAAAUCCGCAGCCGCUAUCCUUUGGGUGCGCACAGGGUAAAACCCCCGCUACCAUGUUGUAUACCUACUCUAUUGAAGCUUGCAUCCUGGAAUGACAAUCGUUUCUUCUUUUUUCAAGUUAUGGUCAUGGAAUGCAUGCCCGUUUAUUGAUUGAAUAAUACCAAGACUUAGAAUAGUAAAUCCUAGAUGUAGGCCACUCUCCAUUAAGACAAAUAUGUUACAUAUUAAUCCUGAAGGAAAUAUACCAAAAAAAUGAACAUUCUUUAAUGAUUAAAUUUCAAGCCUUCUUCUGGAUUUUCCUGAAAGUUUGGAGCAUUCCAAAGACUAAUAAAAUCUUUUUGAUUCUUUUCGGAAUGCAAUUAAAGUAUCACAGCUCUCAUUUCUGGGACUUACGGGUUUUCUUCUUCUUCUGACUCUAACUUCGACCUUCUAGAGCUUCGGGGGAUGAAGAGAUGGACCUGUUCUAUCAAACAGUAGGGUACUCGGCCUGCGUUUGUCGUUGAAAUAGUGAUGCAGCUUUAAUGAUGAUGUUGAUAAGAAAUCUAUUGUUUAUGCAGUUAAACCAGAAGUUUUUGAAGCCCACAAGGUAAAA
rnacentral:lncRNA from 1 species